rnacentral:rRNA from 1 species
GACGAACGCUGGCGGCGUGCCUAAUACAUGCAAGUCGAACGCAGUGGGGACGGGUGAGUAACACCUGGGUAACCUCCCAUCUGAGUGGAUAACACUUGGAUACAGGUGCUAACCCGCUACUGAUGGAUGGACCUGCGGGGGAUUAGCUAGUUGGUGAGGGAACGGCUCACCAAGUCCACGAUGCAUAGCGGGCCUGAGAGGAUGAUCGGCCACACUGGAACUGAGACACGGCCCAGACUCCUACGGGAGGCAGCAGUGGGGAAUAUUGGGCAAUGGACGAAAGUCUGACCGAGCAACGCCGCGUGGGUGAAGAAGGUUUUCGGAUCGUAAAGCUCUGUUGUUAGAGAAGCGGUAUCUGAACAAAAAGCCACGGCUAACUACGUGCCAGCAGCCGCGGUAAUAC